rnacentral:rRNA from 1 species
CUGCGAGUGAAGAGGGAAGAGCUCAUCAUUGGAAUCUGGCAGCGUCGCGCUGUCCGAGUUGUAGAUGAGAAGAGUAGGCCAUCUGGGCUGCAUGGUGUCCAAGUACAAUAGGCCGUCAGUGGGACAUCAUAGAGGGUGACAAUCCCGUCCUUGACACCAAUGUACGAGUCCUUUACGAUGCCUAUCUCGGAGAGUCGAGCAGUUUGGGAUUUGCUGCUUAAACAUGGGAGGUAGAUUCCUUCCAAAGCUAAAUACAGGCAAGAGACCGAUAGAGAACAAGUACCGCAAGGGAAAGAUGAAAUAGAACUCUGUGAAGGGAGUCAAAAGACGUGAAAUUGUUGCGAGAGAAGCGAUUCAAGUCAGCGUAGCUGGACCCAUCAAGCCUCGCGCUUUGGACCAGCUUUGCCAGCGGUCUUGUCCCUAGAGACUUGACUAAGGUGCCCUGCCCGGUCUGACGGGCAGACCUCCCCUGGAGGCCAGUGGCAUGGCUGGUGGAAUGGCUUGCAAUCGACCCGUCUUGAAACACGGACCAAGGAGUCUAACAUGCAUGCGAGUAUAAGGGUGGCAAACCCGUAUGCGCAAAGAAAGUGAUAGCCUUUUAUGGCCGAGAAUGACCUGAUGACUAGACAAGCAAUAUUAUGUUCCUCGUACGGUCAUUGCCCAAGUCCCAUAUGGUUAGAUCCCAUGGACAUGGAGUUGGAGCGUGCAUGCUAGGACCCGAAAGAUGGUGAACUAUGCCUGGACAAAGCGAAGCCAAAGGAAACUCUGGUGGAGGCUUGUAGCGAUUCUGACGUGCAAAUCGAUCGUCUGAUCUGGGUAUAGGGGCGAAAGACUAAUCGAACCAUCUCAUAGCUGGUUCCUGCCGAAGUUUCCCUCAGG